GUAGGUGGCAAGCGUUGUCCGGAAUUAUUGGGCGUAAAGCGCGCGCAGGCGGUUCUUUAAGUCUGAUGUGAAGGCCCACGGCUCAACCGUGGAGGGUCAUUGGAAACUGGAGAACUUGAGUACAGAAGAGGAAAGCGGAAUUCCACGUGUAGCGGUGAAAUGCGUAGAGAUGUGGAGGAACACCAGUGGCGAAGGCGGCUUUCUGGUCUGUAACUGACGCUGAGGCGCGAAAGCGUGGGGAGCAAACAGGGAUUAGAUACCCUGGUAGUCCACGCCGUAAACGAUGAGUGCUAAGUGUUAGGGGGGUUUCCGCCCCCCUUAGUGCUGCAGCUAACGCAUUAAGCACUCCGCCUGGGAGUACGGCCGCAAGGCUG
rnacentral:rRNA from 1 species